GACGAACGCUGGCGGCGUGCCUAAUACAUGCAAGUUGAGCGAUGAAGAUUGGUGCUUGCACCAAUUUGAAGAGCAGCGAACGGGUGAGUAACGCGUGGGGAAUCUGCCUUUGAGCGGGGGACAACAUUUGGAAACGAAUGCUAAUACCGCAUAACAACUUUAAACAUAAGUUUUAAGUUUGAAAGAUGCAAUUGCAUCACUCAAAGAUGAUCCCGCGUUGUAUUAGCUAGUUGGUGAGGUAAAGGCUCACCAAGGCGAUGAUACAUAGCCGACCUGAGAGGGUGAUCGGCCACAUUGGGACUGAGACACGGCCCAAACUCCUACGGGAGGCAGCAGUAGGGAAUCUUCGGCAAUGGACGAAAGUCUGGCCGAGCAACGCCGCGUGAGUGAAGAAGGUUUUCGGAUCGUAAAACUCUGUUGGUAGAGAAGAACGAUGGUGAGAGUGGAAAGCUCAUCAAGUGACGGUAACUACCCAGAAAGGGACGGCUAACUACGUG
rnacentral:rRNA from 1 species